rnacentral:tRNA from 1 species
GGAAAAGUCUUCCAUUUGGUAGGGUAAGCCACUUGCUACGUGGUGUGUUUAUACACUUAGGUGUUCGAGUCACCUCUUUUCCG